GCCCUGGUGGUGGAAUUGGCAGACACGCACGGUUCAGGGCCGUGUAGCCGCAAGGCUGUGGGAGUUCGACUCUCCCCUAGGGCACCA
rnacentral:tRNA from 1 species